rnacentral:lncRNA from 1 species
UGGCAGACCAAGGGGCAUACCUGGCUCCCCUGAGAAGAUGCCCUCUUGCCCUGCCCGUGCCUACUGCGGGGCAGGUGCUUUCACAGUCCGACUGACUGGGCUGGGAAGCCCAACCAAAAGUGAAAGCUGAAGGGGAAUCCAGGAAUCUGAAACCCUGGGGCGGAGGCAUCUUUUGCUUUCCUGCUUGCAAGGAACUCAGGCCCCUGAGAGACGCUAGUGGGCCUUUGAUCGCUGCUGUUUACUCAUUCACUCAGCAAACACAAAAUAAGCCUUCACUCAGAAGCCGCUGGAAAGUGCUGGAAGCAGCCCUCAGGGAGUCGCGCUAGAGGAAGCAGGACCCGGGCAGGAGUGGGGGCUGCAGGGAUCCCACUGUCUUCCGGGAGGAACCAGCUUGCUGACACCUGAUUUGUAGACCAGGGAGAGACAUUUUGGACCUCUGACCUCCAGAACCAUAAGAUAAACUUGUGCCGCUUAAGGCGGUAAGUACGUGGUAGUUUGCUAUAGCAGCCACUGUGAGGCUGCCCCUAGGCAGUUGGGGUCUGGGGCAAGAGAAAGAUCUGGGCUAGAGAUACCUGGCAGGUACCAGGGACCUAGGAUGGGUGAGGCUAAGAAAGGGCUGUGCUCCCUAGAGGAGGGGUGAGGCUGAGGCUGGGGGAGGGUGUGAGGGACCUGAGAGGAGGACAGCGGAGAGGGAGAAGAGCUCCUGGAGAGAAUGGUCACGGAAGGUGUCAGAGGCCCUAGAGAUUCAGGUAGAACAAAAAUGCUGCAGCAGCCUGUGACUUCAGCAAGAAUAGUUUGUGUGGGGUGUGGUCUCAGGAGCACCAGGGAGUGAGUCCUGGAGAGGGGUGGCUGUGAGAAUCUGGGAGCGAGUGUGAGUGUGGCGUGGAGGGGGCACUGUGUAACAGAAGGCAGAAGGGCAGGCAGCUGGGAGGCUGCGGGAACCUGAAGACCAGAGGGUUGACCCUUUGUUCCAGGAAACGCUUGAUCAAAUUCCCCUGAAGUCUCCCGCAAAGCACAGACGUUUGGACUUGUCUUCCCUCUUCUGUCUUAGGGGAAAAAGGAGUCAGAGAGCAAGAGACGGCUGUUACCUCCAGCUUUCAAGUAAGCCCAAGAUUUGUGCGUACCUUUUCCAGAAACACAAAUUCUACCUGAUUGUAAAAAAAAUGAACAUAGAAUUUGUUUUUUCAAGUUGCUUUAAGAAAUCCAUGUCCAAGGCCGGGCGCGGUGGCUCACGCCUAUGUAAUCCCAGCACUUUGGGAGGCCGAGGCAGGUGGAUCACCUGAGGUCAGGAGUUCCAGAUCAGCCGGGCCAAGAUGGUAAAACCCUGUCUCUACUAAAACUACAAAAAACUAGCCAGGCUUGGUAGUGCACAUCUGUAGUCGCAGCUACUUGGGAGGCUGAGGCAGGAGAAUCCUUUCAACCUGGGAGGUGGAAGUCGCAGUGAGCCGAGAUCAUGCCACUGUACUCCAGCCUGGGCAACAGAGUGAGACUCCAUCUCAAAAAAAAAAAAAAAAAAGAAUACUUUCCCACGCACCCCAAGAAAAUCUCUUCCCCAAAGCCAAGCUGCUCACACUUAGGGACAGUGAGGGGCGAUGUGUCUAUUCUCUAUAGAACUCACCCUGACCUGCGCCUUGAGAGCAGGCAUGCGCCGGGUCGGGGGUGUACAGUGUGUAGGUCAGGCCACGCUGUUUUGGGAUAGCAACCAGCUCAGCGCCACGGCAGCACCCCAAGCUAGUGAUGAACUGGUUAAAGCUUGUUUCUGCUAGGUUUCUGAGGCCAACAGGGCAGGGCUACACUUCUGUCCCAUUCACUCCUAUGGCCUUUGCUCCUAGCAAGGAGUCUGGCACCUGGAAGCGUCAGGUGAAGGUGUGGAGGGGCUUAAAGGCCGGGGUCCACGGCUUACUGGGGACAGUGUCCUGCGGCCUUGGCUAAGAUCCCACCUAUGGGACGGCACACUGGACUUUCCCAAGGUCAUAGCUGGUGAACUGGGACAGAGAAUAGCCACUUGGCUUUGAUUCUGAUACUGUUGGUGGUGCAGGCAAAUUCUAAGAGCGGCAAAAGCUACCCUAGCAGACCACUGUUUGCUAAGGGCAGACACUGCUCAUGAGCAGCUAGCGAGCUGUCAGGAAAUCCAGCCACCCCUCCCAGGUUGGAGCCCUUGACAGGGAUCCUCAAACUGGCUGUACUGGGAAUAUCCAGCAUAUCCAAAAUGAAAGAACCACCAACAGGAAUAGAAAAUUUUUUGUAGUAUGGAAGUUGUAAAGCUGUGUUUUAAUAGGAUUACCUUAGGAAUAAGAGGACUGCUUUUUAAAGAUACGAGAUCCCGCUGCCUUGGCAAUUCUGUUAUCAGAAAGAUAGUGAUUUUGAUACAAAACAGUAAGAAACUGUAGAAUUGCAGGACCCAUAAUCCUCACAAGGAAGAUUUAGAGAGUGCUGUGUGUCAAUCACUCAUCAGCACCUCACAGAUAUUAUCUCAAUUCGUCCUGGCAACCAUCACUGCCCCUACUUAGCAGUCUCAGAGAGGAGACUCAACUCACACAGGGGCCAAGAGCUGGACCACGGCCAACCAGGGGCAGCAGAACGCCACAGUGGUUGAGCAUGGGCUCUGGUGAAGGAUGGCGGGGGUUCAAAUCCCAGUUCUCCACCUCUCUGCUUCGCUCCGAUUCCUGGGCCUCUGAGCUGGUCUCCUCCGCUGUGGAGUAACAGUGUGACUGCUCAUCUGCACAGAUUCCUUCUGUGCUGGACACGGUUCCAACUUUCCAACUACUCCCGCAGGAGCUCAUUUAGUGGAGACAAGAUCUUGCUCAGUGUCAUAGUGAGGAAGAAAUGGAAAUAUCUGUGCAGGGCCCAAGCCCGGCCUGGUGCGGGAGAGGCAUUAAUAAACGCAGCUUGAGUUCAGAAGCAGGUGGUCUGUGGCUCACUCAGCCUGGCUUCCUGCUGGGUCUUCACAGUGCUGGGCUACCUUCCUGGAGAGAACCAAAGUCCAGGCUGUGUAGAUGCCUGUGGUCCACCAGCGCAAAGCAGCGGCCCAUCAGGACGCUUCGGAGGUAGAUGCGUCUGAGUUCCAUGACAUCGGGGACAUGGCCCCACUCCUGUUCUGGAGGUCACGGGCCUGCUGAACCUCUUGUACCAGGUCAGCCACCAGGUUCAUCUGGCAGGACCUGAGAGCCCCCACCAGGUGGGCCACUGUUGCGUUCUCCUUCUCUGUGUUCUUCCAGAUUCUCAGUGACUCCCGCACACGCUCUGUCAGCCUUCUCCAAUCUUUCCCCACAUUAUCACAUAUGACGUUAAAUGCUGCACACAGGUCUGGGAAGGAAAGAACAGAACGGUUUACCAUAGGUUUGGAGACAAGCGACCCCACAAUCCUCCCUAGGGCUUUUCAGCACAGACGCCAAGUGCUGAGUGGACAGAGGUGCCUACACGAGGUCCUCUGUAGAGGCUAGAGUCGCCUGGCAGCAAAGGGGCUGCACCAAAUGCCCAAGAGUGGCCUGAUUCCACCUCAGCCAAACCCCCUGCUCUCUAAUACUGUCCUAGGAGGCGUGGCCCACUGAAGACUCAAGUGCCAAAGGAAGUUGUAGUGGAGCUACCUACUUAGAGCAGGAGACACUGAGGGAGGGGCUGGGGAGUUGUGGGAGGGAAGAAAAUAGGGUUGAUCCCACAUCCUGCCCUACAGCAGGCUGAACGAUGUCACCCCAAGGUAUGUUCACGUGAAAUUGCUGAAACCAUGAAUGUUCUUUGGAAAAAGCAUCUUUGCAAAGGUAAGCUGAGGGUCUUGAGAGGAGAUCAUCCUGGAUGACCUGGAUGCACCAAUGAUAGGUAUCCUUGCAGGAGACACACAGGGAAGGCCGUGUGAGCCUGGAGUGAAGCGGCCACAAGUCAAAGAAUGCCUGGAGCCACCACAAAGCGGACGAGACCCGGAAGGAGCCUCCCCAACAGCAUUCCGAGGGUGUGCCGGUCUGUGGCACCCUGCUUAUUCAGAUUUCUGGCCUCCAGAUUGAGGGGGUAGAUUUCUAUUGCUUCAGGCCACCAGAUUUGUGAUCAUUUGUUAUGGCAAUCACAGGAAACUAGUAGGCACUCCAAUUGUUAUUUAGAAAGCUGCCCCGAGUGACCACCAGUCUUCAGUCCCUGGCUACCAUACUCCUCAUCUGCUGACGUCACCACUGAGAUCAGGGAGCUGGUCACAAGACCAUAAAAGGCCGCUUCUGGAAUGUGAAGAGAGGAAAGGAGAGGCAGGACAGGGUGCUGCUUGGACUACUGGCAAUUCUGAGACACCGUUGGCAGGUGUACCAGCUCCCGCAGCUCUGACAGCCCUGUGGGCUGGGCACUGUGUUACCAUGACUGUACAGAUGAGGAAAUUGAGGCACAGGGAAGCUAAUGGACAUUCCUGAGAUCGUGUAGCUAGACGAUGGCAGAGCCAUGUUCUGAAACCCUAAGAGUGUGGUGCCAGAGUCGACCCUUAACCGCUAUGCUGAACUUCUGGGGAGGAAGGCAGAGUCGCCCGCUACCAACCUGUCCAUACCCACCGCUCACCUUCUGGUGUACUUUUCCCAGCACACAGUAACUACAUGACGAUAUAAAUAAAACCAAGCACACAUACAUCUCAAAUGUCAGCUAUGUUUCGUAGACCGCCUUUAAAAUGCAAUUUAUCAGUGUUUUUCCAGACAUUAAAUAUCCAUAAAACCCGAUUUUUCUACGUCCUGUUUUGUUUGUUCAGUACUGAUUUUUUUUAAAAUCUGGACUUGACUGCUCUCAGGCAGAGAGCUGUUCUGUCCAUCCUGUCCCCAACAGGCACCAGUCUUUACAGAGUGAAACCCAUGGUGACACAUUUAGGCCCUAUCUGAUUGGUGACUGAAUGGCUGAUUCCAAGCUACAGCUUGAAGCCUCUGAGAGGCGUCCCCAGAGCACUCCCAAGCCUCUCCCGACUCUGAGAACAAGGGGGGUAGGGCUGAGAAACUCUGCUGUACUCAGGGUUUCUUUUUUAUCCUGGAAGCUGCUGCAAUCCACAGGCGAGGGUGGAGAGGGAGUGACCGAGAGCAGGACAGGAAGCCACUCCACAAUGAACUUGACCAGAGAGGCAGUGUAGUGGCUAACACUACCCAUCCGGAGGCCGGACUGCUUGGCUCAAGCCUAGCUCCGUCAGUUAUCGGCUGCGCAUUUCGACAAAGCCACUUAACCUGUGAGCCACAGUCCUGUCCUCUGUAAAAUGGGAACAGUGAUAGCUAACAGUAUCUAAGCCACAGGGCUACUGCGAAAAUUGUAUUUGGCAGUUACAAGGGUAAGCGGCACACUGUAAGCCCCUGGGUAGGAGUUACUGAAUGCUAGUAUUACUCUCAGACAGCCGUGAAAAGCAUAUUCCGAGACAGAAAGGAAAUGAUGCGAGGCAGGCUCACCCAACCUCUGCCCCUCCCCCACACCUUCUCUGACUCAUCUUUUCUUCAGUGAGUUUUCUAAUUUACCCGGGCAGAAGUGGGUGGAGGAAAAAGGACUGUGCGUGUCCACGCCCUGCAACCUCGAAUAAGUUAACUUUUCUGCGUUUCUGGCUCUCCCAUCUGCAAAACCAGGGCUGUACGGAGAAAACCCACGCAAAUCAAACCCGGCAAAGGGGAGGCGCCUGGAGGCCAACCGGAGGAGCCUCGCAGCACCUACAGCCGGGCGACCAGGCCCUGGCUCCCCCGGCCCGGCCCCGCGCCCACCUUCUUCCCCAGGCGCGGCCCCGGCCGCCGCCCCCGCCUCGAAGUCGUCGACGCGCCGCAGCAGGUCGUUCUGCUCCAGCAGCAUGGAGAAGAGGUCUAGGCCGCUCUGCACGCGCUCCAGCUUGCGCU